AAGCAUACCCACCUUUGUGGAGUCGCGCGACACCGACCCUCCGCUACGCUUCUCCAAAUCCGCCUCCAAAGUAGCGGCAGCGGUACUCAAAAAGAGAACGAGGAGGAGCAAGAGGAGUCCGCCCCCGCCAGCGGCACCACCGAACCCGAAUUGCGCCACCCCUCUACUCCUCUCCAUCUCUUCCCCUUCCUCUCUCUCGCUCGCCCUCUUCUUAUAUUACGCCCUCUCCCCGCUCUCUCUCUCUCUCUCUCUCUCUGUGUCUAUGUUCCCUUCCUUCAUGGCAUCAUAAAGAGGCGAUUCGAUUCGAUCUGGGUAGUUUGAGAUGGGAAUAAUCAAGAACAGUUUCUCAUUUUUACUGGGAACUGGUUGUGGUAUAUACAUUGCUCAGAAUUAUAAUAUCCCUAACAUAAAGAAACUUGCAUAUACAUGGCUUGAUAGGGCAAAGCAAGUUGAAGAGACUUACAGGAAGCGUAAAAAGAAAGGUGAAGACUAGUAGUUGUUGUAUAAUCUUUUUAUGCUCAUGGCAUCACAAAUAUCAGAGGAGAGAUGGGUAACCAAGGAAAUAUCACAUGAAUAAUGUAGCGCAAAACUGAAAUGCUUGCUGCAGCAAUCACAUAAAGUGGUCAAGCCUGUAACUGCAAGUGAUAUUCUUAUAAUUAUCAUAAUUUUUUUUGUUGUGAGUUGCUUAAAUUUCAAAUUUAUGGAUACACUUAUGAUGGAUGCUGCACUAUUCGUUUGGUAAUUAUUGUGCCAUGUUAUUGUUGAACAAUAUUUCAUCUGUUCCGAAUGAUUUGGCUAAUUCAUGAG